UAAAAUAAUUUAUUAAAAAUUUAUUUUACAUAUAAAUUUUAGUAAAAAAUUUUAAUUAUUUUAAUAAUAAUUAAUUUUUUUUUGUAGUAAUUAAUAUUAAAAAUUUAAGAAAUUGAGAUUUAGUAAUAUUUGAAUUUAUAACAAAUUUUGUGCCAGCAGUUGCGGUUAUACAGAAAUUAAUUUAAAUUUUAUUAGUAAUUAAUAAAUAAAUUAAAAAUUUAAUUAAAUAUUAAAUUAUUAGGUGAAAUUUUAAUUUAAUUAAAAUUAAUAUUUAAUAUUAUGAUUUAAUAAAUUUAUUAAUAGACUAGGAUUAGAUACCCUAUUAUAAUAAAAAUUAAAUUAAUUUAUACUAAAAUAUUAAAUAAUUAUUUAUUAAAACUUAAAUAAUUUGGCGGUAUUUUAGUUUAUUUAGAGGAAUCUGUUUAAUAAUUGAUAAUCCACGAAUAAAUUUACUUAAUUUAUUAUUUUAUAUAUCGUUGUUAAAAAAAUAUUUUUUAAUAAAAAUAAUAUUUUAAAAUUUUUAUUUAAAAUUAAAUCAGAUCAAGAUGUAGAGUAUAAUUAAGAAUAUAAUGGAUUACAAUAAAUUUAUUUAAAUGAAUAUUAAUUUGUAAAAAUUAAUUGAAAGUGGAUUUAAAUGUAAUUUUAUUUAGUUUAUUAAAAUAAUUAAAAAUUAAAAUAUGUACAUAUUGCCCGUCACUUUCAUUUAUAAAUUGGAAUAAGUCGUAACAAAGUAGGGGUACUGGAAAGUGUUCCUAGAAUUAU
rnacentral:ncRNA from 1 species